AUACGUAGGGGGCGAGCGUUGUCCGGAAUGAUUGGGCGUAAAGGGAGCGUAGGCGGCCUGUUAAGUCUGGAGUGAAAGUCCUGUUUUCAAGAUGGGAAUUGCUUUGGAUACUGAUGGGCUUGAGUGCAGGAGAGGUUAUCGGAAUUCCCGGUGUAGCGGUGAAAUGCGUAGAGAUCGGGAGGAACACCAGUGGCGAAGGCGGGUAACUGGACUGCAACUGACGCUGAGGCGCGAAAGUGUGGGGAGCAAACAGGAUUAGAUACCCUGGUAGUCCACACUGUAAACGAUGAAUGCUAGGUGUAAGAGGUAUCGACCCCUUUUGUGCCGGAGUUAACACAAUAAGCAUUCCGCCUGGGGAGUACGGCCGCAAGGUUGAAACUCAAAGGAAUUGACGGGG
rnacentral:rRNA from 1 species